CCACCGUUUCCCAUUCUCAUUCUCUCUUUUUUUUUCCUACCACCGUUCUCUCUACUUCACUCUCUCCACCCUUUCUCAUUCUCAUUCUCUCUUUCAUUCUCUUUUUUUUUCCUACCACCAUUCGAAGACGAUGCCUUGGUGCUGUUGUUCUCCAAAUGCAGGACGGAAAUGACGGAGAUGCCGAACGAAAAACUCAAAGAUCUGUAGCAUUGAGUAUCUUUGUGACCGACAACAAUAACGAAGACAACAAAUAGUCUCUGGCAUUUGGAGGACAGGAGAAAGCUUCGUUUUCUUUGCUCACAAUGCUGAUGUGGACCGUGCUUACGUUUGGCAAUGUCAAGAGCCUUCAUUUCCGCCCAGAAACAUCGGUGUCAACCUCCAUUUAUUAUUUUUACUAAUUAAUUAAUUAAUAUUAAUACUUUUUAUUAAUUUUAAUUUUAUUGUGCAUUUAAUUCUUUUUGUCUUUUGUGUUGCUUUUGCUCCGGAUGUGUUUAUUCAUUUAUUUCCAUUGUAAAUGUAAAUAUGUAACAAUUAAUUAUUUGUAUUCUAUUCCCAAGACGUUUGCCUUUCCAAUGCAUUUUUCUGUUCCUAA